AAAAAAAGGAUUAAGUAAAUUAAUCAGUGUAAAACUACUUAGUUCCUGGCACACAGGAGCUAAGUGCCUAAUAAGUGUACCAAUCCUGUUGCUACUUUGCUCUUCUGCCUCUGGUGCACUGGAUCCAUAUCCUUUUGCUUUUUCAAAUACAUGCUCCUGUUCCUUUAAUUGUCCUCUUUCUUUUUUUAAUUUUUAAUUUAAUUUUUAUUUUAUAUUGGAUUAUAGUUGAUUUUAUGUUAUGUUAGUUUCAGGUGUACAGCAAAGUGAUUCAAAGUGAUUCAAUUAUACAUAUACAUAUAUAAUUGUCCUCUUUCUCCAGCAUCAAAACCUUUCUCUCUGAGUCAUACCCACUGGUAUAUAAAUUUUCUGUAAUGUCCCUCAUCUCUUAAAAAUAUCAAACAAUUUUCUUUGACCACACAUCCCCACAUCCCCCAUACAUACUAUUUCCACUUUCUCUUAUUCAUCCUCUUGAACCCAUUCCAAUCAGGUUUUAUCACCCUGCUCUACUGAAAUAGCUCAUCAGCAUCACCAAUGGCCACCCAAAAGUCAAUUCUGAGGGCUGUUUCACUCAGUUUAUCAACAGUAUAUGACACGCUUUGAAACACUUUCUUCACUUGGCUUUCAGGACACCGCACUCAUCUCUCCUGCUUCACUGGCCUUUUCCAUUCUCGUCUUCUUGACCUCCUAACAUUGGAGAACCCUAGAAGUCAAUCAUCAGAUCUCUCCUCUAUCAUAACUCAAUUUUUAGGUGCGCUCAUCCAGUCAGAUUGCUUUAUAGACUAUGUGUUGAAAAUUUCCAAAUGUAUAUCUCCAGCCAUAACUUCUUUAACUCCAGGUUCCUAUUAUCGAACUAUCUACUUGACAGUCUUAACAGGCAUCUCAGAAAUAACAUGUCUGAAGUGAAAUUUUGAUUCUCCCCUUCCCACUCCCAACUUCUGCCGCCAAUACUCUUUCCAGAUUCUUCCCCAUCUAAGCAAAUGGAAUUUCCAUUCUUCUAAUUGUUUAAGCCAAAAUACCUUUGAGGGUUGGUUGGUUUGUUUUUUGACCUUGAUCCAAUCCAUCAUCAAAUUCUGUUACUCUGUCCUUUGAAAUACUUCCAGAAUCCAACCACUUCUCAAUACAUCUAUUGCUGUCACUUUGAUCCAAAGCAUUUGUUGCCUAGAUUGUCAUAACAGCUUCCUAGCAGUUCUCCCUGCUUCUAUCAUUGCCCCUUAUACUUGAUUCUUCACAUACCAGCCAGAUUUAAAUGUAAGUCAUAUGUUACACCUCUGCUCAAAACCCUCUAGUGACUUCCUAUCUCUACAUUUCACAAUGCUUGUAAUGCCCUUUGUGGUCUGAUUCCAGCUUUGUGUCUGACCUAUCCCUCUCUUGCUUUCUGUGCUUUAGUCACACUAACUUCCUUGCUCUCCCUAAAGCAUACUGAUCAUGCUGCUGCCUCGUGGGUUUGCACUCACAUCACUCCUGGCAUGCUCUUCCUUCAGGGACCUACAUGUAUCAUUCUCUCACUUUAUCAGGGUUUUGCCCAAAUAUAACCUUAUAGGAGAGAUCUUUCUUGAUCACCCUGUAUAAAACUCGUAUCCCAUCUCUAACCCUCUUACCCUGCUCUUCCUUCCUAGCAUUUAUCACCACCUGACUGACAUUUGUUCUUCUCUCAUUCUUUACUAGAAUGCAAACUUCAUGAGGCUAGGUUUUUUGUCUGCUGUAUUCCCAGUGCCUCUAGAAGAAUGCCUGGCCCAUUGAUUAGAUAAAUCAGAAUAAAUCAGGGAAAUCAGAAUAAAUAUUGCUCCUUGGCAUUUGUUUAUUGCAUUCUGUGUUUUUCUUGAUUUCUAUACCACUCUCUUUCCUGGAUCUCCUUAAAUGUCCUUUAAAUUCCCUGAGAGAAUCUUAGUAGGUUCCCUUGCCAUUCAGAAUGAAGCAGCCCUAUUGGGCAAGCUCUCAAGCCAAGUCACCACAUAGGCUUCUGGCCACAAUUUAUCACUGAAUCCUCUGAUUGCUUCUUGCCCAGUAGAUUCCACUUUUGCCUGAAUGCCUCUGUCACUAGCUUCUCUGAAACCAGUGAGUGUGGGUCUGUUUUGUAGAAAUGGAUUUUAUUUAUUUCAUUUGGAACUUUUAGAAAUUUACAUAAAACUGCAGUGAAGAUGAAGGCAACAGUAAAUAUUUUCAUAUGUUUUCAAACUGAAGCACCCAGCCAUCUGCCAUUGUGGAUAUUGUGGAAAGAAUACCCAGUGCCUGCUGGCAUCUGGCACAUGAGGUUCUCCAUCCUGACGCCAUCAUUUCCUUGGCAGGAUCUGAAUUCGGACAUCCUCGGGAGUGUGCCCAAUGCUAUAUGUCAGUUGAGGUUCCAAGAUUUGGAAGCCACAGAAAUGCAGAGUGCCACUCUGGGGAUACACAAAGCACAGAGUUCCCCCUGCAGUGGUUUGGAGUCCCUGCCAUCCUGAAAGGCUGGUUUGAAUGAGUGCUCAUAGGGGAGUUUGCUUACUCGUAUGCUGCCGUGUAUGACAAGGGACCUUUCCGGGUAGGUUGAUGGUUCUGCUUUUUCUAACACCUGGAUUCUAGGUAGAUUCUGUCCUGAGGCAGAGUUUUGAGCACAAUUAGAUACCAAAAUCAGGCUCCAGGUCCCUUAGGGAGAGAUGCAUGUCUCUCCCAAAAUUUUUAAUAGAUAUUUUCAUAGAUAUUUUGACAUGAUGUUCAGGAUUUUCUUUAAAAUACUCCAGGAAAAAACAGGAGUGAGGGGAUACUGAGAGUUAAAGCUGGGUGGUGGAUGCAUCACUAUACUAUUUUCUCUUCUUUAUGUAUGUUUGAAAUUGUCCAUAAUAAAAAAGUCAGUCUGUCUUCAUUUUGCAGACACCCAAAACUAUACAAGAAACAUUUUUAGAGCUCCUGGAUUACAAGCCUAGAUACAUGCCUAGCAGUGUGCGGAGAUAGCUAAAAAACAACAAAUAACUCCACCUAGGCACCAGCAGUCAGCACUGCUUUUGUGUUACCAUGACAACCUUCACCUGAUUUGCCACAUCCAGGAGUAUGGAAUCCUGGGCCUGCCCCUCUGUGUACCAUCUUCCAGGCUGGUACUUCUGCAGAGUCAAUACUAUGAGGCUCAGAGGAGCCAAUGUAUGAAGUAACAUAAACAACAGAUGGGAGGGGGGACCUUUGUGUUCUUUCCCCUGGGGCUGUUUCAGUAACUUCCUGUCACCAAGGAGAUGUGGAAGGUAAUGACUUUUCUUUUACAGAAUAAGAAGGCAAUGCUUUCCAUCUCCACUGGUGGCAGUGGCUCCAUGUACUCUCUGCAGGGUAUCCACGGGGACAUGAAUAUCAUUCUCUGCCCAAUUCAGAAACAAAGGAGAUGCAUCACACUGGAGCCAGAGGCAGCAAACCCCAUCCCCAGAGCGCAAGGUGAGUCUCGGGCCUCAGAGGAGGAGACACAAGAAAUGGGGACAGGCUGGACUGCACCGCACACAUCCCAGACCAAGGCCACCUGCCCUCAUGCUGCUGAUAUAAGCACACUGCUGCUGCACGGCUCCCACAGCAAAGGUAAAUGACAUAAGGAGCAAGUUAGUAAGUAAGAAAACUGAGCAGGAUGUUGUUACAGUAAUAAUGAACUCUUACUGAAUUUUGUUAGGCAUUAUUCCACAAGUUUAAUGUCAAAAUAACCCUAUGAAGUUAAUAUAUCUCCAUUUUACGGAUGGGGAAACGAAGGCAAGGUAAGGUAGCUUGCUCAAGGUCACAGAGCUAGUAAGUGGCAGGUAUAAGCCCAGGGAAUCUGGCUCCAGAGUCAGUGCUCUUACCACCACCAUACUUUCUCAAGGGUCAUAUUAUUACAUUACUCAACUAUUUCUGAAUACCUUGUGCCCAAGUAUCAGCCUAGGCAUUAAGCCAGGAGGUGGCUCUGGAGGUGCUGAGAAUUUACUAACCAACAGGACACACUAUCAAAGCUGCUAUGAUUAAAUGGGUGUGGGUGCUGAGGCAGACCCACAGGCCUUGCCUCUCUCCCACCCGCUCAAGGCCCAACGAUGGACCCUGAACAGGCAAAGCUGCUGUUGUCAGGGACCAAGCAGGAGCCCUGGUGUCUGUCCUUGAGGAAUUCUCCCUCAGUUCCCAGUGGUAAGGACACAAGAGCUGCGUGAAACUGCCGGAGAAGCCAAGCCCUUUCCUGAAGUCUCUGCGAGUGAACUAAGCAACACGGGCUAGGAAAUAAUUAUUUUGUGCAAGAAACCACUCAGUCACUGGGGUUAAUCUAACAAGAAUGGAGAACAUUUCCAAGUGUUUCUAAGAACGAAUGUUAAUUUGAGGAACUUAGAGCUUUUGUAACAAAGGACAAUGGGGGAAAUGAGAUUUCCUGAAGCAAAAAGCUUUACCGACAUGAGCCUGGCACGUUUAAACACUAAAGAUUCAAAAAAUGCAGAGGCAGUUUUGAGGAGUGGCUCCCCAGCAGACCUGCAGAGGACGGUAACAGAGAUGGGCCCCGAGCCACGUCGGGGAGGGCUUCAUCCAGGCUACUCCACCGUCAGUGGAACAGCACUGGGGACACAGGGAGAGACACCUUACUGCUUUGGAAAGCAGUGCACACAGGCCUCCACAGUAAGGGGCUCCACCAGAUACCUGACAUGACGGCUACCAUGUCUAGACUGAAUCUGUGGAAAGGCUGGAAGCCACCAAGUUCCCAGGGCCACGCUUCACUCAACAGCAGGGCUGCAGUAUAGUCUCUUCCAUUCCAACCAGAUCUCGGAUCCGGGGGCCUCUCCACACAACACCAGCCCUCACCACGAGAAAAACCAAUUCAUGAGGCAGAAAAGAAAUGGGGAGGAGUGCAUGGUCAAUGAACUAAACAGUUCACGUCAACGGAGCACUUCCUAUGCGCCAGACAAGCACUCUUUUAUGUGACGAUCUCCCUAGUUCCUCACAACCACCUUUCUAAUUUUACAUAAGAAUCAUCUGAGGUACAGAGAAGCUGACCAACUUCUGCAAAGUCACACAGCUACUAGGAGACAGAAUCUGGAUUGGAACCCACAUAGUCUGGAUCCAGAGUCCACUUUUUUUUUAAACAGAAAAUUUCAAACAUGAAGUAAACCAAAGAGCACAAUGAACCCUCAUGGACCCAUCACCCAGCUUCAUCUCUACCCUCACCCAUUCCUCCCACUUCUGUUUUAUUUCAAAGCAAGUCCCAGACGUUACCCCUUCCAUAAACAUUUUGGCACUUACUGCUAAACGACUAGGGCUCUUUGCUCCAGAACCCACACCCUUAAUCCUAUACACAAAGGUAAGGACAAAAAACACCCGCCCUGGCUUUGUCAGGUGGGAGGUCACUGGCCACCUCUGUCCCAGGGCUUUCAGUGCCCUGGUGGGGGCAGAACCUGGCCUGAGUAGGAAUGACAAGGUGGAGGGAAUGCCUGUACACAAGGCAAGGUUCUCCUUCAAGAAGUCUCUAGAAGGUUUAGGAACAGAGGAGUGUUCAACAGAGGGGCACUGAGCCCAGGUUAUUGGCUACAUACUUGAAACAG